CUUUGUCAGGGAAGAAAAAGUUAAUGGUUAAUAGCCAUAAAACUAGACGGUACCUGCAGAAUAAGCCACGGCUUUAACUCCGUGC
rnacentral:rRNA from 1 species